UACAGAGGUCUCAAGCGUUGUUCGGAUUCAUUGGGCGUAAAGGGCGCGUAGGCGGAUCUUUAAGUCGGGGGUGAAAGCCUGAGGCUCAACCUCAGAAUUGCCUUCGAUACUGGAGAUCUUGAGACCGGAAGAGGUAAGUGGAACUGCGAGUGUAGAGGUGAAAUUCGUAGAUAUUCGCAAGAACACCAGUGGCGAAGGCGGCUUACUGGUCCGGUUCUGACGCUGAGGCGCGAAAGCGUGGGGAGCAAACAGG
rnacentral:rRNA from 1 species